GACGAACGCUGGCGGCGUGCCUAAUACAUGCAAGUAGAACGCUGAAGCUUGGUGCUUGCGCCGAGCGGAUGAGUUGCGAACGGGUGAGUAACGCGUAGGUAACCUGCCUGGUAGCGGGGGAUAACUAUUGGAAACGAUAGCUAAUACCGCAUAAGAGUAGAUGUUGCAUGACAUUUGCUUAAAAGGUGCAAUUGCAUCACUACCAGAUGGACCUGCGUUGUAUUAGCUAGUUGGUGAGGUAACGGCUCACCAAGGCAACGAUACAUAGCCGACCUGAGAGGGUGAUCGGCCACACUGGGACUGAGACACGGCCCAGACUCCUACGGGAGGCAGCAGUAGGGAAUCUUCGGCAAUGGACGGAAGUCUGACCGAGCCAAGCCGCGUGAGUGAAGAAGGUUUUCGGAUCGUAAAGCUCUGUUGUAAGAGAAGAACGAGUGUGAGAGUGGAAAGUUCACACUGUGACGGUACCUUACCAGAAAGGGACGGCUAACUACGUG
rnacentral:rRNA from 1 species